rnacentral:lncRNA from 1 species
AAAAGAUUUUCGUGUGACAAAAAGAUACAAAUUAUUAUAUUUUAGGUCAAUCUUAGAUUCGUGUGACGUUUUGUCUUCACUAAACAUUUGUUGUCUUUCUUUCUUAAACCUGUUGACCUCAUUGUUCUCCUUUUAAACCUGUAGACAAGGAUGCUACAGGUAGGCUGGAAUGAUUCAAAGGGCCUUAUAUAAAAGUUGUGUCUUUGUCCACACUAACCAACCAUCAUGGCUACCCUGGCUAAAAAACAGUAUCAAGGAUCACAUGUAAGUUAUUGUUUCGUAAAAAAAAAACCAUGUGAAUGGGACAAGUGGUCAGAGUUUAGAUGUGAAUGGGACAAGUGGUCAGAGUUUACAUGUGAAUGGGACAAGUGGUCAGAGUUUACAUGUGCAUGGGACAAGUGGUCAGAGUUUACAUGUGAAUGGGACAAGAGGUCAGAGUUUACAUGUGAAUGGGACAAGUGGUCAGAGUUUACAUGUGAAUGGGACAAGUGGUCAGAGUUUACAUGUUUUGCAUUUCUACCCUAAUUAUCAGAUGACUUCUUAAAGAAGUAUUAACCCCCCUUAUGAUAAUAUUUGACCAAUUGAAUUGGUUUUCCUGAUAGGAACUGUUAACUAACUGACCAGUAAAGCAAAAUGUUUGAUGAUAGUGCCAAUAAUACUGAAACCAUAAAUUGACAUCUUAUAGGAGUGAUGGAUCUUUAAUAACGAUAAAUGACAUCUUAUAGGAGUGAUGGAUCUUUAAUGAUGAUAAUUGACAUCUUAUAGGAGUGAUGGAUCUUUAAUAAUGAUUAUUGGUAAAUGCGAGUUAUUUUGUAAUUUAAUUGAAAUGUAGUAUAGACAGAUAUACUUUUUAAUGAUCAUCAAGGCUUUUCCUAUGUCACCUAAACUGUCAAUUGACUGUUUAUUUGAAAUGUUCCACUUAAAUUACUUUGUGUAUCCAUUAAUUAUUUAAAUUUGUUUGUUAAUAUUUAAUGAAUAAUCCUCUGUGUGUGUUGAUUUAAUGAAAUAUUGCUUUUUAUGUUGAUUUCAAUGAAUGAUGUUAAGGUAGAUCAUAAGUAUAUGUUUCCCAAGAUAGAAUUUUCUUAUACUUUGACAAAAUGAAGAUAUUUUAUUAUGCUCUUUUCAAAAAUAUAAUAAAAAAGAUGGGUCACUUUUCUAUUUUUCAAGCUAUGAGUUGUUGAAAAUUGCCUUAAUUUGCUUAGAAUGAUCAUGAAAAAACACAUUUUUUGUGCAUUUAAAAAAAUCUAUGAGAUACAAUUUUGAAAUAAAUUGUGAGAAGAUGGGUUUUAUAAUAUGUUUCAAGAAAAGAAAAAGAAAAAAUGGUGUCACAGAACUUGUUUUCUUGAUAUAAGAUAAAGUAAAAAAAAUCCCCUAUCAGUGCAGUAUAAAUUUUGUACUUAAAAAAGUUAACUCCCCUUAAAUGGCUUAGUUGAAAAACAUUAUUUUUAAACACUAUUGUUUGGUAUUUGUUUAAAUAUCUUGAAAAAUGCAAUGAAUCGGCAAAUUUUAUUCAUAUGAAUGAAGUGUCUGUCUACAAAUUUGCAGAUUUAGGUAAAUAACUAUGUAUAGGAAGAUGUGGUAUGACUAAUUGUGUACUGAGAUAGGACAAUCCAAGAUGGCGGUAUACAAUGAAUCUAGGAAGUAAACCACUAAUUCAUGGUCCCAUUGCUUUCUAUGUUAAAUUCCUCCAUUUCAGGUAGGCACACCUCUUUCAUUUUAAGUUCAAAUAGAGUAGCAAUCAUUGCAUGUCAAAGCAACACUUUAUGGUGUCUUGUACUGAAAAAAUCAACAUACCUUUAAUGGCAUAUAAGAAAGAACUGGUUCCCGGAACUUUGGAUGUACCAAAACAGGUACUUCAGAUCUGACAAACAGACAAAAUGUACCCUCUUUUUAAAUUUGGUCCAGUUUUUUUAAUAUUUAAAAUUAAAAGUCAAAAAGUGUUUUACAAUGAUCACCAGUUCUUCAGCUUUCAUUUGAUGCCAAAAAUACCUAAAUAUCCUACAUGUUUUGAAAGUUACACUCAUGAGUAGGAACUAUUUUGUGUUGAAUAUGUACUACUUUCUAGUAUGUGCUUUCUGGCCAGGCCUGAAUUAAUAAUGUUACACCUCUACCUUAAAUGUGUGUAGAUUUUAAUGAAUGAUAUUUAGUGUAGAUUUUUUUUAUAAAUGAUCCUUAGAGUGUAGAUUUUAAUGAACUAUCAUUGAAAUGAAUGAUCCUUAGUUUGUGUACAUGAUAUUUAGUGUGUGUAGAUUGAAAUGAAUGAUCCUUAGUUUGU